UGCAUGCAUAUCAAUAAGCGGAGGAAAAGAAACCAACAGGGAUUGCCUUAGUAACGGCGAGUGAAGCGGCAAAAGCUCAAAUUUGAAAUCUGGCACCUUCGGUGUCCGAGUUGUAAUUUGAAGAAGGUAACUUUGGAGUUGGCUCUUGUCUAUGUUCCUUGGAACAGGACGUCACAGAGGG
rnacentral:rRNA from 1 species